GACACUCCCCUUUCCCUCAGGUGUGUAGCAUAAAUCAUUGCGGUGGUAGCUAGUUAGCAAAGACGCCGUGUUUUUGAUGCUGUCGAGUGUAGCGUGGGCACACCGCUCUCUCUGUCCCUCUGUUUGUGGUUGAGCCACCGUACAGGAAAGCCCUGUCCAUCGGCGGCUGGCGUGGGGUCGGCUGCUGUUCUGGGAUGGUGUGCUGAGCUGGGCAAACUCAAGUGUCGCUGGUGAUGUUCUUCCACUUUGUGUCCUGUGUGGUUGGCUGCUUGCAUGCCGCUUCGAGAGAACCAGAGGUAAUGCCGGCAUUUUCUGUAAGAGUUUCGACGCUUAGCACUUGACUUGUGUAGGGAGUUGUGUGGGGUGGGAGUGGGGGUGCUCCGCAGGUGUGAUGGCGGGACUGGCAGCGUGGUGCCUUUGAUAUCGCGCUGUGGUGUCGUGGUUGCACCUGUGGGAGCGCCCACAUUUCCACAAUACACAACUCCUGUUGAAUCGAGUUAUAAAUGCCGUGCCUAAUGGUAACUUUCUCGUUAAAUGUACAUAGGAGGAGAUGGUGCCUUCGACUACACUGAUGCAGUGUCACUAGAGAAGGGGGGGCAUCACUGUUCUUUUCCCAACCUUUUGUUUUGUUUUGUCCUAUUGUGUGAGUGAUUCAUCCUGUGCAACCUUUUCACUUUGACGUCCGAGACGAAGGGGCUUGUGUAAGUUUCACUCUAACAUCCGAGACGAAGGGGCUCGUGUAAGUUUCUACUUAGUAACCGCCAAGACGGAGCUUGUGUAGGCCUAUAUGAUUAGGGUAUGAACACUGAAGUAUUACUGGGAGACGUAUCUUAAUUCUUAGACUCCUUUUGGAACCUAUACUUGCUGUAGGGGGAGACCAAAGACG